UUUUGUCCUAGCAGUAUCAAAGUGCUCAUAGUGCAGGUAGUUUUUGAAUUGGAUCUACUGUAAUGUGGGCACUUAUAGUACUGCCAGAUAAAAUG
ensembl:miRNA